CGUAGGGUGCAGGCGUUAAUCGGAAUUACUGGGCGUAAAGCGUGCGCAGGCGGUUUGCUAAGAGAGAUGUGAAAUCCCCGGGCUUAACCUGGGAACUGCGUUUCUAACUGGCAGGCUUGAGUGUGGCAGAGGGGGGUGGAAUUCCACGUGUAGCAGUGAAAUGCGUAGAGAUGUGGAGGAACACCGAUGGCGAAGGCAGCCCCCUGGGCUAACACUGACGCUCAUGCACGAAAGCGUGGGGAGCAAACAGG
rnacentral:rRNA from 1 species